rnacentral:rRNA from 1 species
AUUGAACGCUGGCGGCAUGCCUUACACAUGCAAGUCGAACGGUAACAGGUCUUCGGAUGCUGACGAGUGGCGAACGGGCGAGUAAUACAUCGGAACGUGCCCGAUCGUGGGGGAUAACGAAGCGAAAGCUUUGCUAAUACCGCAUACGAUCUACGGAUGAAAGCCGGGGACCGCAAGGCCUUGCGCGAACGGAGCGGCCGAUGGCCGAUUAGGUAGUUGGUGGGAUAAAAGCUUACCAAGCCGACGAUCUGUAGCUGGUCUGAGAGGACGACCAGCCACACUGGGACUGGGACACGGCCCAGACUCCUACGGGAGGCAGCAGUGGGGAAUUUUGGACAAUGGGCGAAAGCCUGAUCCAGCCAUGCCGCGUGCAGGAUGAAGGCCUUCGGGUUGUAAACUGCUUUUGUACGGAACGAAAAGACUCUGGUUAAUACCUGGGGUCCAUGACGGUACCGUAAGAAUAAGCACCGGCUAACUACGUG